CUGUGUCCAACCACCCCCCCUAAAUACCCAACCACAGAAAAAUGGCACCAAAAUAUAGUAGAUUGUAACCAUGGUAACCAAUAUAAACAAAAAAUGCUAGUACGUAAAAAAGCAAGUAGUGAUCAAAUCAGACAAGUACCAUAAUCUAACAAAUGAAUCAUGGGUAAAUGAAUAGUUGCAAAACAUGAUUGAAGUGGUGUAUACAAUGUAACUAUAGACAGGAGAUUAUGAGGCGGCUAUCUGACAGCGCCACCUAUCGCAAACUUGACAGGGAUCCCACUUGGGCUUUCAAACAAAUUAUUGAUACCUCGUUACAGUGUGGCCUGAACAGUGACUACAUUAAUACAGAUACUUUGAAUUUUUUUUAUACCUUGCCGAAAAUUCCCAAGAGUCUGACUUACACCACCAGGACGACCCAUCGCGAGUGCAAGAGACUCACUACUCCAACCACUCUAUGUAUGUGGAUCAUGUCUUACAGUCCCUUGUUAAGGACCUUUGCACAUAUAUCCAGGACACUGGUGACCUACUACGUAAACUACAGGGGCUUUAUCCUCUACCUACAGGGACCGAACUUGCAACAAUGGAUGUUUCUUUCCUUUACACGAUGAUACCAAUCGAGGGGGGUUUAGUGAACAUCAAAAUCUUCUUAACCACCCAGACAAGGACAGACCACCCACGAAAUUUCUUCUGUCUCUCCUUGAUCACCGCUUCACAAUUAGAAUUUUCACACUAUUAGCAGAUCAAAGGGACCAACAUACUUUUGUGGACUGGCACACAAGCAAUUUAAUACCAUGAUUAACUGAACCAGCUGCCUUCUUCAAUGCUUCAUGGCACACAUUGAUGAUCUCUCCACCUCUUUCCUCGACUUAACACUAAAGUGAACAACUCAACACUCCAGGAAAGAAAUGGAUUGCAACGGGGUCAGAUUAUGGCACCAAAGAAGCUAAUUAUGUCGAGUGAACAUCACCCAGAAUCACAAAGAACAAAGAUGCAAUCCCAAGGGCACGUUGACCCCACAUGUUUUGGCAAUGAGCCUGUCCGAGACACACAGACUGUACGUCGCUAAAGCCCGAGAACAGAAAAUCGAGUCGGGACAACUACGUGGUGUAGAGGUGGGAAUUGCAUGCCAAUGAAGACAGAAGAAGAAUCCUACUGUUGCAUGGAGCUAUCAAAUGUCAACAAGAAAUAUCUACUAGAUGGUUGCAUCUGCCAUAGCAGAAAAUUUAGGAGACAAUGGGGCCGAUUCACUAAAGUGCGAUAAAACGCACGCUAUUUAUAAAAAAUUUUGCAUCUAAAAUUUGCUGACAACGCACGAUUCACUAUAAGCACCCUUGCGUUAUAUUACGCGCGAUACAGCAUGCGAUAUUUUAGUUGCGAAAAUUCUACGUGCACUAAAUAACGCGCGCGAAACGCGUGCGCUACUUUUCGCACGUGCGCCAAUAAAAGCACAGCGGUAACGCAUGCGUGCUAAUUAGCGCACGCAAUUGCCAUGCGACUUGACGCACGCACCAGCAUAAAACUGGCGCCAUUUUGCACAUUUGCCCUGGGAGAGCACAGAAGUGCUAGAGAUUGUUUUUUGGGUGAUAUUAAUAUUGAUUUUGAUAUUGAUAUAGUUAUGGCAAGCAAAAAACAGGUUGCUAAGAGGACGGAGCACAUUGAAACACCUGUGGUGUCAGCCAGCUCUGGCACUGAUGCAGAAGAGGUGCCCCUUUAUCAAGGCAGCCCUGAUGUAUCUGAGGGUACAGAGUACCAGCCCCAGGAGGCGAGUGGAGAGAGCGAGGAGGUUCCCCCCACCUCAUCAUCUGGGAAGAGGAAGGAGACAGCAGGAGGGGAGGCUUCGCCAGUUCAAAUUCUCAGGAGAAAUUGAUAGGGGCAACAAUGAGUAACAAAAAGUGACUGCGUUAAGGCUUGCUUAUUGGAGACAACACAAUAAAACCAUUUGUAUAUUUUCUUUAGAUCAGGAACUGGAGGUGGCCCUUCUAAGCGGGUCCAUUACACCCAGUAUGAGGAGCUGCUGCUGCCUUUCCUACACCGGGAGAGUGCGAGGUGUCUCUGGCACCUUUGAUACAGACCAGAAUGUUGGCCAAGAUUCAUCCCCACCUGGGCCAAGCAGGCGCAGACAAACGGCAUCUGCUCCCAUUCCAGGUGGACACUCCUUGUGUGGGCUCUACUCCCCACAGCACCAUCCUGCAAUUGAAGGAGAAACAUUUAGUGGGGAGGAAAGUGAGAGAGGGUCCCACGUCGGUGGCAGCGACGUGGCCUUCUCCUCAGAUGAGAAGCUGGCCAACAUUCCCCAGCAGCAGCUCCAACCCAGCCCACCGGAGAGAAUGUGGCCCCCAGGGAACAGGAUAAAAAUAGGUUCCACAAAUCCCUAAUCUGGUACCACAAAGCGCUAAUGAGAAAAAUGGACCAACUGCAUGUUGACUUGUGUGUGGCCACUAACGUCUACAAUGCAGGUCAGGCACGGCAAGCCGCACACGAGUCUGUAAUGCUAAACCUCUAUCAAGACAGCGAGGCACGAAGGGCACAACAUGAGGCUAAGAUGGUGAGCCUCCAGCAGGCCAGACAUCAAAGUCAAUCCCAACAUGAGGCUGCCAUGUUGAGCCUGCAGGAGGAGCAGGUAGAGCUUAAAAAAGUUAAAAACUGGCUCUGUUGGCUGAACAAAAUGCUGCACCAAAGCCAACAGAGCCCACAAGCUCUACCAGCGCAGCUCCCCCUCCUGCAGGUUCAACAAGGCAGCUUCAUAAGAGAAAAUAAAUUGGGCACGGUGCAAUUAGAGAUUUGUGGAACCUUUUCUUUGGCCUAUUUUUUUUUUCUUUCUUGCCAGGUGUUAAACCUGUUAAAAAAAAUAUUUGGGAAGUGUUCCCUGAAAAUAAAUAUUUUUUUUUUGGGGGGGGGGGGGGGGGGGGGAAGUUGUUUCUUGUGUAUGGGAUUAAAGAUUGUAGGUACUUACAGGCAAAAUAACCCGUUAUAAUUACAGAUGCAUGUACAGGUAACUCUUCAGAGAGGGGAUAUCUGA